UACUAAUGCAACUGCGAAUAGCUGUUUAAUACAGUCGCAAUUGUAUUGACUUAGCAUAUAUGAUGUAAAUAAGUUAUUUAAUUAUUUUGGAUAACUAAGGGAAAGUUUGGCUAAUACGUUUAAUUUUUAAAUAUGUUUAAUUACAUAUACAUAUAAUAAAAAUCAUUUUUUUAUUGCAACAUGAUAGAUAUUAUAUAAAUUAAAAAUAUAUAUUUAUUUAUAUAUUUUAAAUAGAGGAGACUUUAUAAUUAUUAAUUAUAAUAUUAUAAAGCAUGUCAAACAAGCAUCUAUAGCAUCAAGUCACAAUGUUGGCAUGUGUACUAUUGAACCUUCAAAGCAUUUACGCAUUCGGAGGAGUAGUUUCUGAUCCCGUCGAAGGUGCCUGAGAGACGGCACUUAGUUCUAAGGAACGCAGCAGGCGCGUAAAUUGCCCAAUGACAAAACAUGAUAUUUAUACCUUGUAUUACUAUACUCAAUAUAUAUAUAUUAAUUGAGGCAGUGACAAGCUGUAAAGAUUCAAUAUAUUAAUUAAGAUAACAUUUGGAAUUGUCGCUUUGUAAUAUUUUAUAUAUUAUAUUGCUUGAUAAUAUACCAAUGUUAUAAAAUAUUGAAUCUGAAUGCGGUGAAUAUAAUAAUAUCAAGUAACAUGUAUAAAAUAUUUAAUUAUUUUAUAUGUUAUCUGAAUUUUCAAGUGGAGGGCAAGUCUGGUGCCAGCAGCCGCGGUAAUACCAGCUCCACUAGCUUAUACAAUCAUUGUUGCGGUUAAGAGGCUCGUAGUUGGAUUGAAUAUAUAUAUAAUUUAUUUUUAUACAAUACUGUGAACAAAUCAAAGUGUAUAAAACAUGUAAUAUAUUAUAUUAUGCAAUGAAUGUUUUAUCAUGGAAUAUUGCAUUAAUAAAAUAAUAUUUUAUAUUUUCGAUGGAGAUAGUUGGAGUUAAGAGUACUGAUAGGCGAGCGGUGAAAUGCAUUGACCCUAUUAAGACUAACAAAAGCGAAAGCACUUAACUAGAUUAUUCUCUUUGUAUUAUUACAAUGAAGAGCGAAGGUUGGGGGAACAAAGAGGAUCAGAUACCCUCGUAGUCCUAUUUUUUACAUCAAACUAUGGGAUUUCAAUUGAAUAUAUUUAUUAUAUAUUUAAUUUAUAUUUCUUCUCAACAUAAUUAUAUAUGAUUGAGCGUAUUAUAUAUACUCUCAUAUUUUAAUAUUAAUGUUAUAAAAAAAUAUAAUUUAAAUUAAAAAACUAUUGAUUAUAUGUACUUUGAGCUCAUAUAAUUAUAUAGGUGAGAUGUAAGCAUUAUAGGAGAUCAAUAUAUAUUAUGUAAAUAAUAUAUUAUUGUAAUCCUUAAUUAUAAAAAAUGUAAUGUGAUGCACGUUUUAGGUACGAGCUUACUAUAGAAAUAUUUAAAAUAAUACCCUCCUGGGGUAGUAUGCACGCAAGUGUGAAACUUGAAGGAAUUGACGGAAGGGCACCACAAGAACGCGUGGAGCAUGUGGCUUAAUUUGACUCAACGCGGGAAAUCUUACCAGGUCCAGACAUAUUGAGGAUUGACAGGCGAUAGUAUAUAUAUUUAUUAUAUAUGCAUAAAAAUGAUAGUCCUUUCAUGAUUAUAUGAUAGGUGGUGCAUGGCCGUUCUUAGUUCGUGGAGUGAUUUGUCUGCUUAAUUGCGUUUCAGUUAAAUAAAAUAUAUAAUAUAUAUAAUUAUUAGUUCUGCCUUAAUGGAUUUAAAGUGAACAUAUUAUAUCAUAUUAUUAUAUAAUAAAUGAAUGCAACGAACGUGACCGUAACCUUUUAUUGCUAUAAUUUUUAUAUUUUAAAUAUAUAAUAUAGCAUAAAAUUAAAGGGACCGCUGUCUAAAAUUUUAGUGUUAAAAUAGAGUAAGAUUACGGCAAUAACAGGUCUGUGAUGCCCUCAGAUGUUCUGGGCUGCACACGUGCUACAAUAAUUACAUUAAUAAGUAUAUAUAAUACAAAUAUAUAUUUUAUUAUAUAUUUAUAAAACCUAUUUCGAAAGUAAAUUGGUAAUCAUUUAAAAAUCGUGAUUAAUAAAAUAUAUAUACAUAAUUGUAUAUUUAAUUAAUUUAAGGUGGGGAUAGUGUAUUGUUAAUUAUUACACUUGGCCUUAACUAGGAAUGCCUUGUACUCUUCUUUGGUUUAACAUACCAAGAGGAAUACGUCCCUGCCCUUUGUACACACCGCCCGUCGCUCUUACCGAUGAAUUAUAUUAUAAAUCUAAGGGACUAUUUUAAUAUAUAUUUAUAGAAACUUAUAUACAUAAUGUGAUUUAAAGGAAAGAGAAGUCGUAACAAGGCAUCAGUAGGUGAACCU
rnacentral:rRNA from 1 species